CGAUAGAGAGUUAUACACUGAAACGGCCUUUAAUAUCACCCCCCGUAGGUGAACUGCGGAGGGAUCAUUACAAGUGACCCGAUUGAGCACGGCGAUGUUCAUAACCCUUUGUUGUCCGACUCUGUUGCUCCGGGGCGAUCCUGCUUCGGGCGGGGGCUCCGGGUGGACACUUCAAACUCUUGCGUAACUUUGCAGUCUGAGUAAACUUAAUUAAUAAAUUAAAACUUUUAACAACGGAUCUCUUGGUUCUGGCAUCGAUGAAGAACGCAGCGAAAUGCGAUAAGUAAUGUGAAUUGCAGAAUUCAGUGAAUCAUCGAAUCUUUGAACGCACAUUGCGCCCCUGGUAUUCCGGGGGGCAUGCCUGUUCGAGCGUCAUUUCACCACUCAAGCCUCGCUUGGUAUUGGCACGGUCCGCCGCGUGCCUCAAAUCGACCGGCUGGGUCUUCUGUCCCCUAAGCGUUGUGGAAACUAUUCGCUAAAGGGUGCUCGGGUGAGCGCCGUAAAACAACCCCAUCCCCUAAGGUUGACCUCGGAUCAGGUAGGAGCCCGCUGACUGAC
rnacentral:rRNA from 1 species